GAAUUGACGGGGGCCCGCACAAGCAGUGGAGUAUGUGGUUUAAUUCGAAGCAACGCGAAGAACCUUACCAGGGCUUGACAUCCCUCUGACAGCUCUAGAGAUAGGGCUUCUCUUCGGAGCAGAGGAGACAGGUGGUGCAUGGUUGUCGUCAGCUCGUGUCGUGAGAUGUUGGGUUAAGUCCCGCAACGAGCGCAACCCUUGUUGUUAGUUGCCAUCAUUAAGUUGGGCACUCUAACGAGACUGCCGGUGAUAAAUCGGAGGAAGGUGGGGACGACGUCAAAUCAUCAUGCCCCUUAUGUCCUGGGCUACACACGUACUACAAUGGCUGCUACAAAGGGAAGCGAGACCGUGAGGUGGAGCAAAUCCCCAAAAGCAGUCCCAGUUCAGAUUGCAGGCUGAAACUCGCCUGCAUGAAGUCGGAAUUGCUAGUAAUGGCAGGUCAGCAUACUGCCGUGAAUACGUUCCCGGGCCUUGUACACACCG
rnacentral:rRNA from 1 species